rnacentral:misc_RNA from 1 species
CGCACAUUGCGCCCUCUGGUAUUCCGGAGGGCAUGCCUGUUCGAGCGUCAUUUCAACCCUCAAGCCUGGCUUGGUGUUGGGGCACUGCCUUGUCUACAAGGCAGGCCCUGAAAUCUAGUGGCGAGCUCGCUAGGACCCCGAGCGUAGUAGUUAUAUCUCGUUCUGGAAGGCCCUGGCGGUGCCCUGCCGUUAAACCCCCAACUUCUGAAAAUUUGACCUCGGAUCAGGUAGGAAUACCCGCUGAACUUAA